CAGGGAGACAACAAAAUGUUUAAUAUUAUUAUUUUGUCACCUUAGGUCGAUCGGUAUCUCACGUUCUUAAUUCAUUAAGAAUUUCAUUUCCUAAGUUUUUCUAGGUCACACCCAUUAUUUUUCCUGGGCCAUUAGCUCAGGUGGUUAGAGCGCACCCCUGAUAAGGGUGAGGUCCCUGGUUCAAGUCCAGGAUGGCCCAUAUCUCUAUGUUGGGGGUAUAGCUCAGUUGGUAGAGCGCCUGCUUUGCAAGCAGGAUGUCAGCGGUUCGAGUCCGCUUACCUCCACUGAUUACCACCUCUUCCAUAAUCGGUAGAAAGGAAAUGUUUUGAGUUGUGAUCAAAUUCUGAAAGAAUCUAGCUUCCUAAUGAAAUCAUUAAGAUGCUGGAUUCAUUGAAUUAAUUUCAUUGUUUUCAGAGAACCUUGACAACUGCAUAGAUUAUUUUUAAAGACAAUAAGCAUCUUUAAUGAUGCAGAUUUAUUAUUUGUGCAUAUGCAUUAAUAACAAUUCUAUUAAGCUGAUGCUUCAAUUUUUGAAGUUAUU
rnacentral:tRNA from 1 species